CCCUUAGAUGUUCUGGGCUGCACGCGCGCUACACUGACGGAGCCAGCGAGCCUUGUCCUUCGCCGGAAGGUGCGGGUAAUCUUGCUAACCUCCGUCGUGCUGGGGAUAGAUGGUUGCAAUUAUUGAUCUUCAACGAGGAAUUCCUAGUAAGCGCAAGUCAUCAGCUUGCGUUGAUUACGUCCCUGCCCUUUGUACACACCGCCCGUCGCUACUACCGAUUGAAUGGUUUAAUGAGAUUUUCGGACUGGAGCCGGGCCGGGCCGGCAACGGUGCGGCUUUUGUGCUUCGGGAAGUCAAUCUAAUUGAAUCAUUUAGAGGAAGGUGAAGUCGUAACA
rnacentral:rRNA from 1 species